rnacentral:snoRNA from 2 species
CUGAGGAAAAAAGAAUGUGAUUCCUGUGGGAGCCCAUUGUCCAACGACUGCAACCGCAGCUGCCUCAGAAGUAUAUUCCACCUGCUCCUGGCAUGGGUGGCCAUAAGGGACCUUGGAGACAGCC